rnacentral:hammerhead_ribozyme from 1 species
GCACUGCUGAGGUGUCCCACAACAGGACGAAACGGCUGUCUAGUGC